CCACUGCGGGACCUUGAUAAAAAAAAUGCCAAAAAUGAUGAUUCGUGAUGCCGAUCGGUGGAAACUGGUGGCUCAGAGUCCUAGCUAUUGUCAAACUACGCAUUCAGAGCUCAGAUGGUGUUAUCAUUUACAGCCUAAUCUCCCCAGAAGCUUACUCAACCUGAGAUAAGGAAACGGGGCAAAACAAGCUCUACUAUCUACACAGCAACGUCUGGUUAAGUGUCACUAUUGCAGCGGAAGCAGGACAAGAGGACUUAGUUUGGAGCAUGAAGAAGAAACUAAAAGUAGGUGCAACAAUUGGGGUCAAGUUAAGCUCUCUUCCAUCGUUACACGACAAAAGAAGCUUAAAAGAAAGGAGCCUCACAGACAGAACAUCAGACGUCAGACGCAUCGAGAGAUUUAAAGGGAAUAAUUCCCAAGUUUCACCAUCCGCCCAAUCAUCAUUUAUCAGCGAUGUCAGUCCAUGGGAGGAAUUCCCCAAAGAUGGAUUAUUCAACAAGAAUGACAAAUUCAAUCUCCCAGUGUUUGAUAAUUCCAGGAUAGGAAGAUGAGUUAGUCACAAGCUAUUCGUGCAAGGCGCUAAGAUACGAGGAAGUGUGAGAGCCAAUUGCAUAGUGGCUCCUCUUGAAUAAUGGAUUACUGUGCAUUUAAGAAGCAUGAGGCGUUGAGGCAGGAAAUCUUGACGAAAUGGCUUAACUAUCUGUACUGCGUGUACACCGGGUUCCAGGACUGUUCUGCCAAGGACCUAUGAAAACCCCCACACCACGAAUCCACGACAUUAUUAAUGUCCUCACCACAGUUACAGCCUGCAACGCCAGUGGGAUAUCCUCCAAUAACGUUUGAAUGACACUGGGGGGGGCCGAAAAUCUGCAUAGGGCGGAAGCUAAAUGGAGAAACCUCCAUAUCCAAUUCCAAUUGCGAUAUCAGCGGGGUUGAGCACAAACCCUUUUUCAAUGCUGAUUCUCCUCCUUUGUUGGCACGCCCUUUACGUGAUCCGGUUUUUGUAUACGGGCUAGGUCGACGUCUUUGGCUUUGGCGAAUUGAUCAGAUGCCGUGUGAUAACACAUGUUCAAUGAUGCAUCCUGUGUACAUGUCGUCAGUUUCCAUGGCGUCGUUCACGAGUUGUGAUUAAUAAUAAUAGGGGGCGGAAUGAUGGGGUCAUUGAUGGCCGUGUGGACUAUCGAUUGAGGUUCUGCAGGUUGAAGAUACGAGACGCUUAGACUAAAAGGGAAGAGGAAAGGGGGCUCCGAUUGACAUGGAUGUCACAGCUAUUUGCUAUCUACGAUUGUUAUCUGUGCCGUCAUAGGAUAAUAUCUCCGCUACAAUAAAAACGGUGGAAACCAGCCCGUGGGUAGCCCCCUUCUUUCGUCAUACCCUGGCGGGGUAGAUCCAGUGUUCCUGAGAUCAGUGAGAGCCUAUCAAUCGAGACUUUGGCUAGCAUAUAUAUGAUAUGAUGAUCAAAUGAUAGUAAUUAUUAGUAAUUAUUUCAUGAGCGUUAUCAAAAAGCAAAACAGAAAAAUU
rnacentral:sRNA from 1 species